rnacentral:rRNA from 1 species
UAGGGAAUCUUCGGCAAUGGACGAAAGUCUGACCGAGCAACGCCGCGGGAGUGAAGAAGGUUUUCGGAUCGUAAAACUCUGUUGUUAGAGAAGAACAAGGACGUUAGUAACUGAACGUCCCCUGACGGUAUCUAACCAGAAAGCCACGGCUAACUACGUGCCAGCAGCCGCGGUAAUACGUAGGUGGCAAGCGUUGUCCGGAUUUAUUGGGCGUAAAGCGAGCGCAGGCGGUUUCUUAAGUCUGAUGUGAAAGCCCCCGGCUCAACCGGGGAGGGUCAUUGGAAACUGGGAGACUUGAGUGCAGAAGAGGAGAGUGGAAUUCCAUGUGUAGCGGUGAAAUGCGUAGAUAUAUGGAGGAAAACCAGUGGCGAAGGCGGCUCUCUGGUCUGUAACUGACGCUGAGGCUCGAAAGCGUGGGGAGCAAACAGG